rnacentral:rRNA from 1 species
UACGUAGGGCGCAAGCGUUGUCCGGAAUUAUUGGGCGUAAAGAGCUCGUAGGCGGCUUGUCACGUCGGAUGUGAAAGCCCGAGGCUUAACCUCGGGUCUGCAUUCGAUACGGGCUAGCUAGAGUGUGGUAGGGGAGAUCGGAAUUCCUGGUGUAGCGGUGGAAAUGCGCAGAUAUCAGGAGGAACACCGGUGGCGAAGGCGGAUCUCUGGGCCAUUACUGACGCUGAGGCACGAAGGUCAGGGGAGCAAACGGG